AGGUCCUUGUAAUUCCCUUGAACGUCUCUUGGUUUGUUCUUGUUGAUCAACAUCCAUCAGAGAUAUCAGCUCUCCAAUAAGUGUUUACCUUUAAAUUCUCCUCUUCUCUUCUCCUCUUCUAAAACCCUCCUAGGAGGGGAAGCUCUCACAUCUCUCUAGCUCCUUUCUCCCACAUCGACUCACCUCCACCUUCUUGCCUACUUCUAGUAGUAGCUCUCUGCCCCGACGGUGGCAGGGCAUAACACUGAUUCUUCAUGUUUAAGAUGCACAUCCUCCUCACCCAUCAGAAUCAACUUCACCGGAUGUUUGUUGGUCCUUCGGAACUCCGACGUCGGCGUUGUAUAGCUUGUCUCUUUAGAAAGGGUUUUCCCAUUACCACACAUAAAUCUGAUGAAUACGGUAGUGCCUCAAGGGACUGCACGGUCUUCGGAUGUCUAUCCCUUUGAUCCCUCUGCGUAUCACCUCUUUUUUUCUUCUGUUAUGGUUCCUGUAUUGGUAUCUAAGGAUGUUUUGUAUGGCUAAGAGAUUUGGAUUGUGAAGAUCUUU